rnacentral:tRNA from 1 species
UGAGUUGUGGCUCAGUGAUAGAGUGCUUGCCUAGUAUGCAUGAGGCACUGGGUUCCAUCCUCAGUACCACAU